rnacentral:rRNA from 1 species
GACGAACCGUGCGAACGUUAUUCGGAAUCACUGGGCUUAAAGCGCGUGUAGGCGGACCGGCACGUCAGUCGCUGAAAUCCCCCGGCUCAACCGGGGAACUGGCGUUGAUACGACCGGUCUGGAGGGGGGUAGGGGGGACGGGAACUCACGGUGGAGCGGUGAAAUGCGUUGAGAUCGUGAGGAACGCCCGUGGCGAAAGCGCGUCCCUGGACCCCACCUGACGCUGAGACGCGAAAGCCAGGGGAGCGAACGGG